rnacentral:rRNA from 1 species
GAUGAACGCUGGCGGCGUGCCUAAUACAUGCAAGUCGAGCGAACAGACGAGGAGCUUGCUCCUCUGACGUUAGCGGCGGACGGGUGAGUAACACGUGGAUACCCUACCUAUAAGACUGGGAUAACUUCGGGAAACCGGAGCUAAUACCGGAUCAUAUAUUGAACCGCAUGGUUCAAUAGUGAAAGACGGUUUUGCUGUCACUGAUAGAUGGAUCCGCGCCGCAUUAGCUAGUUGGUAAGGUAACGGCUUACCAAGGCAACGAUGCGUAGCCGACCUGAGAGGGUGAUCAGCCACACUGGAACUGAGACACGGUCCAGACUCCUACGGGAGGCAGCAGUAGGGAAUCUUCCGCAAGGGGCGAAAGCCUGACGGAGCAACGCCGCGGGAGUGAUGAAGGUCUUCGGAUCGUAAAACUCUGUUAUUAGUGAAGAACAAAUGUGUAAGUAACUAUGCACGUCUUGACGGUACCUAAUCAGAAAGCCACGGCUAACUACGUG